rnacentral:rRNA from 1 species
UACGUAGGGGGGCAAGCGUUGUCCGGAAUCAUUGGGCGUAAAGCGCGUGUAGGCGGUCCGGUAAGUCCGCUGUGAAAGUCGGGGGGCUCAACCCUCGGAUGCCGGUGGAUACUGUCGGGCUAGAGUCCGGAAGAGGCGAGUGGAAUUCCCGGUGUAGCGGUGAAAUGCGCAGAUAUCGGGAGGAACACCAAUGGCGAAGGCAGCUCGCUGGGACGGUACUGACGCUGAG